rnacentral:tRNA from 1 species
GCCCAGAUAGCUCAGUUGGUAGAGCAGGGGAUUGAAAAUCCCCGUGUCGGCGGUUCAAUUCCGUCUCUGGGCA